rnacentral:lncRNA from 1 species
CUGUUAUGUUGCAAAAUAUUCUAGGCAAUAUCAUGCAACAGGACAAUUGCAAUAUAAGGAAAAAUGGGCUUUAAAUAAAUCAGUCCUUACUACCAGGGCCUGUAUAGCAGUAUUACAAAAGGAAAACUGUUUCCUCAAUUACAGUAAGCUGUAGCUCAUCCUCUGACUCUUCUCUGCCUGAAUGUGCACAGAGAAACAUCUGCACAGCCUUUGCUCUGCAGAGAGGCUCCUCUGAAGGUGCCCCUUGCACACAAACCAGACCCUGGAUGUUCUCACACUUACGUCAGUUAACGUUGCCUGGUGCUGGAGGUGGCAUUGGGCAUAACCCAGCUUAUUAUGGCUGCUAUAUGGAUUGGCUUUGUGUGAAUGACCAUCUCCAUAUGCUGGCAAUAUCAAAGGUUCCUCUUUCCACCUCUCUUUGGACAGUGAUUGCUUCUCCUCCAUUUCUCCUGCUGUGUGCCAUGACAUGUCUUUUCUGCCGGUUCACAGGGAUGAGACUUUUAUAA